AGUUUGAUGCCACUACAUGAUAGCUCAAGGGUGGUGACUGGCGAUGCUAUGAUUGAACCAAAAACAAGUUUUUUCACAUCUUGAUAGGAAUUUGUUCAUCUUUCUUCUCUAGAUUUACAAAUCCGCUUUGUGUGAUUACAUUU